rnacentral:rRNA from 1 species
CGCGUAGGCGGUCGAUCAAGUCGGUUGUGAAAGCCCUCGGCUCAACCGAGGAACUGCAUCCGAUACUGGUUGGCUAGAGUAUGGAAGGGGAGAGUGGAACUCCUGGUGGAGCGGUGAAAUGCGUAGAUAUCAGGAGGAACGCCGGUGGCGAAAGCGACUCUCUGGUCCACAACUGACGCUGAGGCGCGAAAGCCAGGGGAGCAAACG